rnacentral:lncRNA from 12 species
UGUAGCUUGUGGCCUGGUGUAUUCUGCAGCAGCUCACAAAUACCAUGUUUGACCUUGUUCUGUGGGUUUUCUGCAGGUCCAGAUGGAAGCUUGGAAUUUGGAACGAUUAAUGUCCUGGAUAAUGUGAGGAAAAUGCUGACUCUAAAGAACAAAGGGAUAUGCAACAUUGGGUACCGUUUCAUACUGAAGGGUGCAGGUCCCAGGAUGCAAGAUGUGGCAUCCCAAUUCACUGUUGAGCCUCAGUCAGGCACGCUGAUUGCCUCCCAGCCUGGUGAGAAUGUUGAGAUGCUCUUCCACCCCACGAGGGAGAUGCUCCUCAAGAACAAACCCAUCCUGUACUGCCAGGUGAUGGAUGCCAGGUCUGGGGCAGGAGGCCAGACUGUCACCACCAUCCCAGUGAGGGUGUCGGCGACAGCUGUGUACAGCAAGUUCAGUAUUGAGCCUGCCCCACCCAUCGACUUUGGGGCCAUGGUCAAGGGCACCAAGAAGACCCAGAUUGUCGUGCUGGAGAACAAAGGCAUGCUCAGCUUCGAAUUCCACAUCCACCAAGCACCUGAGGAUGCAUCUCCAUUGGAAAUCGUCAAAUUUCGCAUCCAGCAAACACCCAAGGAUUCAUCUGCAUUGGAAAUCAAAAGGUACAAGAAGCCCUGCACCACCCUUCCUGUCUGAGGAGGCACCACCCCAUGGCUG